rnacentral:rRNA from 1 species
GACGAACGCUGGCGGCGUGCUUAACACAUGCAAGUCGAACGGAGCACCCCUGAAGGAGUUUUCGGACAACGGAUGGGAAUGCUUAGUGGCGGACUGGUGAGUAACGCGUGAGGAACCUGCCUUCCAGAGGGGGACAACAGUUGGAAACGACUGCUAAUACCGCAUGAUGCGUUGGAGCUGCAUGACUCUGACGUCAAAGAUUUAUCGCUGGAAGAUGGCCUCGCGUCUGAGUAGCUAGUUGGUGAGGUAACGGCCCACCAAGGCGACGAUCAGUAGCCGGACUGAGAGGUUGGCCGGCCACAUUGGGACUGAGAUACGGCCCAG